rnacentral:lncRNA from 1 species
AAUAAUACAAAGGUCAAAAGGCAAAAACUAUAUUAAUAAAGAUAUAAAAAGACACAAAGAAGGUCAAUAAGUACCAUCAAAUUACAUGAGUCUCCCAUCCUUCACAAAACAAACAAAGAAGCAUGACAAUAUUGUGUCCAAGACAAAAACAAACUAAUUAUCCUAAUCCCCUAGAUGAUGUUCAUGACACUAAUUAUAACAAGACAAACCAAUCAACCUAAGCAAUUCCUCUGCCAAUUGCCAAACCAAGN